CAGUCGAGGGGCAGCAUGGUCUUAGCUUGCUAGGCCGAUGGCGACCGGCGCACGGGUGAGUAACACGUAUCCAACCUGCCGUCUACUCUUGGACAGCCUUCUGAAAGGAAGAUUAAUACAAGAUGGCAUCAUGAGUCCGCAUGUUCACAUGAUUAAAGGUAUUCCGGUAGACGAUGGGGAUGCGUUCCAUUAGAUAGUAGGCGGGGUAACGGCCCACCUAGUCUUCGAUGGAUAGGGGUUCUGAGAGGAAGGUCCCCCACAUUGGAACUGAGACACGGUCCAAACUCCUACGGGAGGCAGCAGUGAGGAAUAUUGGUCAAUGGGCGAGAGCCUGAACCAGCCAAGUAGCGUGAAGGAUGACUGCCCUAUGGGUUGUAAACUUCUUUUAUAAAGGAAUAAAGUCGGGUAUGGAUACCCGUUUGCAUGUACUUUAUGAAUAAGGAUCGGCUAACUCCGUGCCAGCAGCCGCGGUAAUACGGAGGAUCCGAGCGUUAUCCGGAUUUAUU
rnacentral:rRNA from 1 species